rnacentral:rRNA from 1 species
UACGGGGGGAGCAAGCGUUGUUCGGAUUCAUUGGGCGUAAGGGUGCGUAGGCGGCGCGGUAAGUCGGGUGUGAAAUCUCGGAGCUUAACUCCGAAACUGCAUUCGAUACUGCCGUGCUUGAGGACUGGAGAGGAGACUGGAAUUUACGGUGUAGCGGUGAAAUGCGUAGAUAUCGUAAGGAAGACCAGUGGCGAAGGCGGGUCUCUGGACAGUUCCUGACGCUGAGGCACGAAGGCCAGGGGAGCAAACGGG